rnacentral:sRNA from 1 species
AGCGGCUUCACCAGCCCCGCGGGUCCGAAUCGCACGCGGCCGGGUCCGCUCUCCCGGGAGGAGAGCCCGGCGUGGACCAGCGUGACGGGCCCAGCGUGCUGCGGCCUCUCCCCGAGGGUCCCUCCACAAGGGUCCCUGCAUGGGCCAGGCUUGGCCGUUGCCACUCGGGACAGCCAUCCCCUCGAGUUCGCGCUCGCCGUCCCUGCCUUUACCUCCCGGGUUGGGAGGCGGGCGACUGCGCGCGAGGUAAAGGAACUUGCGUUCCCCGGCGCCGAGGCGGCAGCAGCGCCGUGCACAGCGGCUUCUAAGGGCGGUGUCGACGGGGAGCUGCGUGUGGCUCCCGGUUUCCUGGUUACGUGCGCGCCGGCAGAGCCAAAACCUGCGGCCGAACCUCCCGCUUCUCCGUGGAUGGUCUGAAGCAUUUGCUGGAGACAGGGGCCUCCGUCAACGCACCCCCGGAUCCCUGCGAGCAGUCGCCUGUCCACUUAGCCGCAGGAAGCGGCCUUGCUUGCUUUCUUCUCUGGCAGCUGCAAACGGGCGCUGACCUCAACCAGCAGGAUGUUUUAGGAGAAGCUCCACUACACAAGGCAGCAAAAGUUGGAAGCCUGGAGUGCCUAAGCCUGCUUGUAGCCAGUGAUGCCCAAAUUGA